GACGAACGCUGGCGGCGUGCUUAACACAUGCAAGUCGAACGGAAAGGCCCUGCUUUUGUGGGGUGCUCGAGUGGCGAACGGGUGAGUAACACGUGAGUAACCUGCCCUUGACUUUGGGAUAACUUCAGGAAACUGGGGCUAAUACCGGAUAGGAGCUCCUGCUGCUUGGUGGGGGUUGGAAAGUUUCGGCGGUUGGGGAUGGACUCGCGGCUUAUCAGCUUGUUGGUGGGGUAGUGGCUUACCAAGGCUUUGACGGGUAGCCGGCCUGAGAGGGUGACCGGCCACAUUGGGAAUGAGAUACGGCCCAGACUCCUACGGGAGGCAGCAGUGGGGAAUAUUGCACAAUGGGCGGAAGCCUGAUGCAGCAACGCCGCGUGCGGGAUGACGGCCUUCGGGUUGUAAACCGCUUUCGCCUGUGACGAAGCGUGAGUGACGGUAAUGGGUAAAGAAGCACCGGCUAACUACGUG
rnacentral:rRNA from 1 species